CUCCCACCUCAUCCUCCCAGAGUGCUAAGAUUAUAUGUGUAAACCACUGCGCCCGGCCUGUGGGGAAAUUUCUUAGAUGAGUUCUCCAUUCUGCUCUUGUCUUUAUUUCACAGUAUUUAAGUUUCUAAUCUCUUCAUGUGUGUUUGUCAAGGAUGUGAGUGUCUUCUGUUUGUGAUUAUAUGUCCCAGUGUGUGAGGUCCCUGCCCUAUUUGUGGGCAUUUGACACAGAACAUGUGUCUUACUUCUUUUUUGAAUGUAUGUGUGAGGGUGGGAUGUCUCUGAUCUCUUUGGAAUUGUAUGACACAGGAUGUGGGGUCUUUGAGCUGCUUAUGUGUGAAUACCUCAAGAAGUGAUAUUUUUAAUUGCUUAGUGGAUAUAUAUAUUGGGUUGGUGGAAUGAAGGUCCCUGAAAGAUGUCCAUGUCCUAAUCUCUAGAAUGUGUCAAUAUGUGACCUUAACAUGUUAAAAAGUCCUUUGCAGAUGUGAUUAAGCAAUCAUCUUGCAAUGGGGGAGAUGAUCCAGAAGCAGACAUCAGAGAAAGAUUUGAAGCUGAAAUGCUGCUGACUUUGAGGAUGGAGGAAGGGACCACAAACCAAGGAAUACAAGCAGCUCUAGAACCCGGAAAAGGCAAGGGAACAGAUUCUCCCCUAGAGCUUCCAGGAGCAACAUAGCUCUGCCGACACCUUGAUUUUAGCUCUUUGAAACCCAUUUUUGGCUUCUCACCUGCAGAAAGGAUGCUUGGUCUACAUGUGGUGAAGCACUUUUGAAGGUUUCAUGGCUUCGUUGGAUAGCAGGUUACCACAUACUAUACAAAGUGAGCUUGGAGAAUGUGAAUCACCUGUUGCAGUAUACCUGUAAUUUAGGGUUAGCUUGUGGGCUUACCAAAACCAUGACUGAGACAAGGGUGCAGUGCAGAAAAGAGGUCCAGACGAAAGUGAUGCAGCUAUACAAUGAAGUACCUCAACUCAACUUGCCGCUAUAAAGCCUGUCACCAGAUGCAGCUUUACAAUUGAAACUAGUAAAAGAUGUUCCUUCAGGGCAGACACUGUUUGCUGAUAAGACAGACCCUUGUGAAAGGAGAAGAGGAAGUGCCUUUUUGGGUGACGCAACCCUGUGCCAGACCACAUGGCCUGUUAAGAGGAAUGCUGCCUGGAUCUCAGUUCCCACUUUUCUUCUUCGCUAGCGUGCGGACGCCCCAGCCACGCCCAUCAUCUGUGCGGAAGAUGCAGAGGUCAUAGCGGAUGCCCUUCUGUACCACGCGAUUGGGGCAGUCAUAGCCACAGCGGC